rnacentral:lncRNA from 1 species
CAGCAAGGGGUGGAUCCAGUUAAUUUUGCUUCAGAAUCUGCAGGCCUGCGAUAGGCGAUGGCAGGACCACAGCUGUUCAGACUCAGAGUGCCUUGGACUCACAGCAGGAAGCAGAGACACUUAGAGGGGCUGCCCCAUGGUCAAUGCCACGGCCCUGGGGAUUUUCUCCUCAAGAGCUGUGAGUCGCUGUGGCAACCACAUUUCCCAAAGCUCCUCUCAAGGCAGAGAGACUAUUUUAGGAAGUGGGAGCAAAAGAUUUAAAUUGAACAUCAGCAAUGAAGAAAAGCUUAAAUUCAGACCAGGAACAAAUGUAUAUAGGCCUGAAUGUGCUGUAAUCCUUGGAGAACAAUGGAAAUUAUCCUGGAUUUUAAAAAGUAUAUGAAUGAACAAUGAUCAAGAAGGGGAAAAAAAAUU